CCCUAUGGGGGGCAGCAGGCGCGAAACCUCUGCAAUAGGCGAAAGCUUGACAGGGUUACUCUGAGUGGUUUCCGCUAAGGAGAUCUUUUGACACCUCUAAAAAUGGUGUAGAAUAAGGGGUGGGCAAGUCUGGUGUCAGCCGCCGCGGUAAUACCAGCACCCCGAGUGGUCGGGACGAUUAUUGGGCCUAAAGCAUCCGUAGCCGGUCCUACAAGUCUUCCGUUAAAUCCACCUGCUUAACAGAUGGGGCUGCGGAAGAUACUAUAGGGCUAGGAGGCGGGAGAGGCAAGCGGUACUCAGUGGGUAGGGGUAAAAUCCUCUGAUCCAUUGAAGACCACCAGUGGCGAAGGCGGCUUGCCAGAACGCGCUCGACGGUGAGGGAUGAAAGCUGGGGGAGCAAACCGGAUUAGAUACCCGGGUAGUCUCAGCUGUAAACGAUGCAGACUCGGUGAUGGGUUGGCCUUGUGCCAACCCAGUGCCGCAGGGAAGCCGUUAAGUCUGCCGCCUGGGGAGUACGGUCGCAAGAACUGAAACUUAA
rnacentral:rRNA from 1 species